UACGUAGGGACCAAGCGUUGUUCGGAUUUACUGGGCGUAAAGGGCGCGUAGGCGGCAUGACAAGUCACUUGUGAAAUCUCCGGGCUUAACUCGGAACGGUCAAGUGAUACUGUCGCACUAGAGUGCGGAAGGGGCAAUCAGAAUUCUUGGUGUAGCGGUGAAAUGCGUAGAUAUCAAGAGGAAUACCUGAGGUGAAGACGGGUUGCUAGGCCGACACUGACGCUGAAGCGCGAAAGCCAGGGGAGCAAACGGG
rnacentral:rRNA from 1 species